CCCAUUUGACCUAAUCUAAUUCCUACCCCCUAUAAAAUAAUGCCUAAAUUCCUAAAUCAAAGAGGAUACCUACCAAACAAAGAUACCUACACUCCCAGACAACGGCAGACAUGGAAUUCCUAAGCAAAAAAAGGGAAGAAGAGUUAACCUAAAUUCUAAGCUAAGAACCGCGCCCACCCCCAAUUCCCCACUUCAGCCGCUUCCUUAUUCAAAAAUAACCCCCAUCUCUCUUGACAAAGCAGCAACCAUUCCCCCAUAAUAAAACCCCCAUUUUCUGAGUUUAUAACUUAUGUAUUGGUUAUCCAAAGUACGGGCAAAAAUUGAAGGUCUUAAAGGACAGAAUAAUCCUUGAGCUGAGCAUCUCUAUCAAUUGCCACCAUAAGUCAGUGAGUUCGAGUUGUGUGAUUCGGAAAAGUUCACAAGAAAACUUUGAGCAGUGAGCACUCCAUCGAAGUGGAGCUUGAGGUUUCCAUUGAGGUAUCGAAUUACCGGUCCCGUACGUGUUUGCCGGCGAAAGCACCGGUCGAGAGUCAUCGAGUUGUUUAACCUCUUGUAAUUCCAAUUUCAUUAAUUCAUACCAAAGUGAUCGCCGAUUGAUUCGCUGCUCCGAUGAAGUUGUCCUUGCCGAAAAUUUUAUCUCAGAUCUGUGAGUAUUUUUAUCUUUCCUCUGCUACGGUGCGAUUUUUCUAUUCAUUUUUGUACUUCAUUUAAUUUAUUUUCUAGUGUUAAUGUUGAAUUUGCUUUGCUCUGUUGUGGUUUUUAAAUUUUUAGAUCUUUGACUAUUUAACUAAGAUGUUUAUAUUGUCUAGUGUAAAAAGAAUGUUUUGUUGAAGAAAUGCUUCCGAGCACACUUUGUUGAAGAAUUGAAUAUUAAUUAUUUUAAUUGAAAUUGUUUUAACUCUUAUCCUUUUUGAUAGUUAUCUAUUACGGUUGGUGUCGCGCCCCCUUUUCUCGCAAAAUCGGGUUUAUGACAUUUGGAAGGACAACUCUGAGUUUUUGUAUUUGAAGAGUCGCCACCUAAUGAUUAAGGUGCAUUAGGAUACCAAUAGAUAUUCAAUUCUAAGUUUGUUUAGGUAACCAGAGAUUGGGUAAGGUCUUGAAAUUAUCCAAAGGGGAAGGUGUUAGGCACUCCUCAGGAUCCACUAGUGUGGUUCCCGCCAGACAAUUAUUAUGAAUUUGGGGUGCAAUUAACAUUGUAAGCACGUGAUUUUUGCUCACUCCCAAAAAAUUCAAAUAAAAUGAUUUUCCUUGGUGUGCAAUUUUGUGAGAUUUUGUGAUAUUUUUGGAUAAUUAUUUGUAUUUGUUUGUGUUUGUUUAUUUGUUAAAUUAAUAAAAAAUACAAAA
rnacentral:lncRNA from 1 species